rnacentral:rRNA from 1 species
UACGUAGGGGGCAAGCGUUGUCCGGAUUUAUUGGGCGUAAAGAGCUCGUAGGCGGUUCGGCAAGUCGAAUGUGAAAUCUCCACGCUCAACGUGGAGGGGUCAUUCGAUACUGCCGUGACUUGAGUACGGUAGGGGAGUGUGGAAUUCCCGGUGUAGCGGUGAAAUGCGCAGAGAUCGGGAGGAACACCCGUAGCGAAGGCGGCACUCUGGGCCGAUACUGACGCUGAGGAGCGAAAGCGUGGGGAGCGAACAGG